UUCUGUCAUGGACGUUAUCAUGCUCGUGGUUACUUGAGCCGAUAAGAUAAUAAACAGGGGAUCUUUAAUUAGUGUUGUUGUGCAUGUCCAUCCACGUGGAAAGCCUGAAAUACUAAGUGAGAUACCCACUUGAACCUCUGGUUCAAGUACAAUGCCUCUGAAACGACAUUACGGUUG
rnacentral:other from 1 species